ensembl:lncRNA
GUGAGGAGAUCACCAGUUAGCUCGGUAUUGCACUGCAUCCAGGCAGCAGCAAGAGGAUGUUGCAAGGAUGGAGGACCUGGUUGACAUGAAUGCUAAGGAAAGGUUACAGGUUUCAUAAGGAGGAAGGAAGAAAUAGAGGGUGGCAGAGGUGUACUGAGCUAUCCAGAAACACCAUCGCUGAAAACCACCACACACAGGAGAGAAGAGAAGACACAUGCUUGGGCUGAUUGGAUGGCACUGCUAUGUAUUCUGCAAGAAGUAACAGCAGGGAAAGGAUACGAUAUUUUUGAUUCUUUGUUGUUUGCUUGGAACAUUUCAGUUCCUGAACUGUGACACAUAAACCUGCAGGACCAUGUAAAUACCAACUCGUUUUGAGGCAUCAACCAUUCAGACUAUGGACUGAAAGAACAAACACCCUGCACAAGCAGAGAUAGACAGCCUGUAUAGUAUAGUGGAUUAUCUGCUUUGCUCAGCAGCUUGAGGUUUUCCAUUGUGCCACCAUUAUCACAGAAAAACAACAGGAUGGCGUCCCCCUUCAGAAAAUGGGAAGAAAGUUUGCCUACACCUCCUCCAGUCUGUUCAUGACCCCCAACACUGCAAACCCUCAGCCUCACGCAGAACAGUUACAUGACUCCAGAGAAUGAACUAUAUCUAUCUACUAGUGGGAGCUGUGAAUCUUGACAUCACACAGAUUUCUGUUCCCUCUUACCAGAAGAGAAGUUCCCUUUCUUGGCUAUAGAGGAAGAAAAAAAGGUCUCAGAUGUUCCUUCCCUGGCCUAAAACUGGCUGAUUGUAGCUCACACUCCAAGGACAAAGUAUGUGAAAUUUAAGAUGGGUGGGAGUAUAGACCCACCAAAAUGUCCUCUCUUCUCUAUCACCAGCCUGCGUGGAAAUAAGACAAGACCAACACUGCAUUCUAGCGGAAUGUGUUGUGCAAACUCCUUCCAUCCAAGCAAGGGAACAGAGAGGCAUACUUUGCUCUUAGCUCCAUGCAAAGUAGCACAUAUCCUUAUCAUAUCCUACCCAACAGGGGUGCUAAACCUGAGGCCUGAGCCUUUCAUCAGCCCUGCAGUCAGAAAACUCCAGCAGGCUGCACUGUCAGGAGCCUCUCCUUGCUGCACACUGUUUGCCCCUCUACGCAAGCCCAGCCUGAAGCUAUCUCAGCUGCUGGCAGCUGGGAGGUGCUGCGAAAGCAGUGGAUUUUAUUUCUGGGCUGGAGUCAACAAGUGUAAGCAAGGCCUAACACAAGGUGCUGAUGAAAGAGAAGAAUCAUAGAGGUGCUUUGCAGCACAGUACAGCCCCAGGAGAUGUUGCAUCAGGGGCAGAAGCUUGCAGGAGGCAGCUUUAACAGCAUUCUCUGGUAACAUGGGAGGAAACUGCUUCCAGCACAACCCUGACAAUCCAGGACACCUGGUCUUCUCAAACCUGCCUCUUUAUUUAACAUAAGCCCAGAACCCCACAGCACACCCACCUUGUGUAGGAGGAAGUUCUGUGACAUUUGGGGAAUUUUCUGCUCCAAGAAAUCUCAUAAUUAGCUGUCCAAACCAAGAUUAGGACUCAAUCUUAGUUUUCAGAAGAAAUAUACUGUCCAUGAAACUGUGUGGUUCUCGGCUACCCAAAGCAAUGGAGCACCAUAGAAAGCCACAUAGUACCCUUCAUUUUUAAAGAAAAUGGAUUGGUACUGAGUGGAAACAGAGCCAAUUUGUGUUCUCCUUUACAUACCUUGUAAUUAUGUUUGGAAUAAGCUGAAAUUAUACAGCUGUAUAUUGCUAAACAAACCAUAAUUUGUGUCAUCUGAGAUACCAUACAAAUAGACCCACCAAGCAAGUUCACUUUAUUAUUAAUAUUGUUUGUAGCACAGCUAAUCGUAGUGAGAUUCAGCUGUCUUAGCUUCAGGCAUUUGAUAUGGCUGUCUAGGCUUUUAAAGUCAAUGAAGGGAAACAGAUGCUUGUACAAUACAUCCCAUUUCCAUCAUAAUACAGACACCUCCACUAGACCAGAUAACUCAUGCUUUUUGUUUCUGGAUAUCAUUGGAGUUGAGAUAGCUUGCUCAGAAACAAAUGUCUGUGUCUUUGCUGUAGAUACCUACAGUUAGGUGAAGUAAGUCCUGCUGUGUCUGCCUCUGAGAUUUUACAGGAAUGUUCUGAUCAGUUUUUAUCCCUGAAGUUAUAAUUAAAUGUUUAAUGUACCAUAAGCUAAUAUCCCUACCUUCUUGGAGACUUAUGAAUUACAGGUUCCAUCCAGGACAUUUCAUAUCUGCCCUUUCUAAUCCCCACUUUAGGAAAAGUUACUAAUUGCAAGAACCAACUCUUUCUUAAUGCUUUUUGUAGGAGAAAAUAUUUUGAAGUACUCGGUUUAGAUCAGUGUCACUGUCAGGAUGCUGUUGCUUUCCCCUAACUCUUGUCUCACAACACUGUUAUAAUGGUUUUGGCAAUAUCUUCCCCUAGACUUGAACCAACAAAGCACCCAGGCCUUGAACAAAACCUAGUAUCUGUCUGCCAUCUCAUCACAGCUACUGCUGAUGAAUAUUGAUUAUUAGCUAAUUAGCCAAUUGACACCCUCCCAGUUUUAUUGUUUUGUUAAGGAGUUUAUAAAUGAGAUCUGUCAGAGACUAUUCAAGAAGAGUUCAUUAGCAUAGCACUAAUAAUUGAACACUUUAGAUGAAUAAUAAAAUACAAGACAAAUUUCUUACCA